rnacentral:tRNA from 1 species
GGGCUCGUAGCUCAGUCAGGUAGAGCGUCGGACUUUUAAUCCGAUGGUCGCGGGUUCAACCCCAGUCGGGCCCG